rnacentral:rRNA from 1 species
UGCAAGUCGAACGAGAUUAAGGGGCUUGCUCCUUAUGAAAGUGGCGCACGGGUGCGUAACGCGUAUGCAACCUACCUUAAUCAGGGGGAUAGCCCGAAGAAAUUCGGAUUAAGACCGCAUAAAAACACAGGAUAGCAUUAUCCAAUGUUCAAAUAUUUAUAGGAUUAAGAUGGGCAUGCGUGUCAUUAGCUAGUUGGCGGGGUAACGGCCCACCAAGGCGACGAUGACUAGGGGAUCUGAGAGGAUGACCCCCCACACUGGUACUGAGACACGGACCAGACUCCCACGGGAGGCAGCAGUAAGGAAUAUUGGUCAAUGGAGGGAACUCUGAACCAGCCAUGCCGCGUGCAGGAAGACAGCCCUCUGGGUCGUAAACUGCUUUUAUUCGGGAAUAAACCUUAUUACGUGUAAUAAGCUGAAUGUACCGAAGGAAUAAGGAUCGGCUAACUCCGUGCCAGCAGCCGCGGUAAUACGGAGGAUCCAAGCGUUAUCCGGAUUUAUUGGGUUUAAAGGGUGCGUAGGCGGCUUAUUAAGUCAGGGGUGAAAGACGGUGGCUCAACCAUCGCAGUGCCCUUGAUACUGAUGAGCUUGAAUACACUAGAGGUAGGCGGAAUGUGACAAGUAGCGGUGAAAUGCAUAGAUAUGUCACAGAACACCGAUUGCGAAGGCAGCUUACUAUGGUGUUAUUGACGCUGAGGCACGAAAGCGUGGGGAUCAAACAGGAUUAGAUACCCUGGUAGUCCACGCCCUAAACGAUGAAUACUCGCUGUUAGCGAUAUACAGUUAGCGGCUAAGCGAAAGCGUUAAGUAUUCCACCUGGGGA